rnacentral:rRNA from 1 species
UAGGGAAUCUUCCGCAAUGGGCGAAAGCCUGACGGAGCAACGCCGCGUGAGUGAUGAAGGUCUUCGGAUCGUAAAACUCUGUUAUUAGGGAAGAACAAAUGUGUAAGUAACUAUGCACGUCUUGACGGUACCUAAUCAGAAAGCCACGGCUAACUACGUGCCAGCAGCCGCGGUAAUACGUAGGUGGCAAGCGUUAUCCGGAAUUAUUGGGCGUAAAGCGCGCGUAGGCGGUUUUUUAAGUCUGAUGUGAAAGCCCACGGCACAACCGUGGAGGGUCAUUGGAAACUGGAAAACUUGAGUGCAGAAGAGGAAAGUGGAAUUCCAUGUGUAGCGGUGAAAUGCGCAGAGAUAUGGAGGAACACCAGUGGCGAAGGCGACUUUCUGGUCUGUAACUGACGCUGAUGUGCGAAAGCGUGGGGAUCAAACAGG